rnacentral:rRNA from 1 species
UUGAACGCUGGCGGCAUGCCUUACACAUGCAAGUCGAACGGUAGAGGGGCAACCCUUGAGAGUGGCGAACGGGUGAGUAAUGCAUCGGAACGUGCCCAGUCGUGGGGGAUAACGCAGCGAAAGCUGUGCUAAUACCGCAUGUGAUCUGUGGAUGAAAGCAGGGGACCGCAGGGCCUUGUGCGAUUGGAGCGGCCGAUGUCAGGUUAGCUAGUUGGUAGGGUAAAAGCCUACCAA